AUUGAACGCUGGCGGCAGGCCUAACACAUGCAAGUCGAGCGGAGCGGCGGACGGGUGAGUAAUGCCUACGAAUCUGCCUGGUAGUGGGGGAUGACGUCCGGAAACGGGCGCUAAUACCGCAUACUAUCAGAUGAGCCUAGGUCGGAUUAGCUAGUUGGUGGGGUAAAGGCCUACCAAGGCGACGAUCCGUAAAUGGUCUGAGAGGCGGAUCAGUCACAUUGGAACUGAGACCCGGUCAAGAUUCCACGGGGAGGCAGCAUUGGGGAAUAUUGGCAAAUGGGCGAAAGCUUGAUCCAGCCCUGCCGGGUGUGUGAAGAAGGUUUUCGGAUGGUAAAGCACUUUAAUUUGGGAGGCGUUACCAACAGAAUAAGCAACGGCUAACUUCGUGCCAGCAGCCGCGGUAAUUC
rnacentral:rRNA from 1 species